GACAGAGGGGGCAAGCGUUGCUCGGAAUCACUGGGCGUAAAGGGCGCGUAGGCGGGAUGGCAAGUCGGUCGUGAAAUCCUUCGGCCCAACCGAAGAACGUCGGCCGAUACUGCCAUUCUUGAGGGAUGCAGAGGAGACUGGAAUUCCCGGUGUAGCGGUGAAAUGUGUAGAGAUCGGGAGGAACACCGGUGGCGAAGGCGGCCAACUGGACGAAGACUGACGCUGAGACACGAAAGCGUGGGGAGCAAACAGG
rnacentral:rRNA from 1 species